CGAACGCUGGCGGCGUGCUUAACACAUGCAAGUCGACCGGAAAGGCCCUGCUUUUGUGGGGUGCUCGAGUGGCGAACGGGUGAGUAACACGUGAGUAACCUGCCCUUGACUUUGGGAUAACUUCAGGAAACUGGGGCUAAUACCGGAUAGGAGCUCCUGCUGCAUGGUGGGGGUUGGAAAGUUUCGGCGGUUGGGGAUGGACUCGCGGCUUAUCAGCUUGUUGGUGGGGUAGUGGCUUACCAAGGCUUUGACGGGUAGCCGGCCUGAGAGGGUGACCGGCCACAUUGGGACUGAGAUACGGCCCAGACUCCUACGGGAGGCAGCAGUGGGGAAUAUUGCACAAUGGGCGGAAGCCUGAUGCAGCAACGCCGCGUGCGGGAUGACGGCCUUCGGGUUGUAAACCGCUUUCGCCUGUGACGAAGCGUGAGUGACGGUAAUGGGUAAAGAAGCACCGGCUAACUACGU
rnacentral:rRNA from 1 species